rnacentral:rRNA from 1 species
CCUACGGGAGGCAGCAGUGAGGAAUAUUUGUCAAUGGGUGCGAGCCUGAACCAGCCAAGUCGCGUGAGGGAAGACGGUCCUAUGGAUUGUAAACCGCUUUUGUCGUGGAGCAAAAGACGCCACGCGUGGCGUUCCGAGAGUACCCGAAGAAAAAGCAUCGGCUAACUCCGUGCCAGCAGCCGCGGUAAUACGGAGGAUGCGAGCGUUAUCCGGAUUUAUUGGGUUUAAAGGGUGCGCAGGCGGAAGAUCAAGUCAGCGGUAAAAGUGAGAGGCUCAACCUCUUCGAGCCGUUGAAACUGGUUUUCUUGAGUGAGCGAGAAGUAUGCGGAAUGCGUGGUGUAGCGGUGAAAUGCAUAGAUAUCACGCAGAACUCCGAUUGCGAAGGCAGCAUACCGGCGCUCAACUGACGCUCAUGCACGAAAGUGUGGGUAUCGAACAGGAUUAGAUACCCUAGUAGUC